rnacentral:rRNA from 1 species
AGCCUGAACGCUGGCGGCGUGGCUAAGACAUGCAAGUCGCACGGGGUAGCAAUACCCAGUGGCGAACGGGAGAGUAAUGAAUCGCUAACGUACCCUGGACUCUGGGAUAGCCAUCCGAAAGGAUGGGUAAUACCAGAUGACAUAACUUACCGGCAUCGGUGAGUUCUCAAAGGUCCCCUAGCAAUAGUGGGCGGUCUGGGGAGCGGGCGUAGUUCGAAGUCAGCUAGUGUGGGUACGCCACAAGGCGACGACGCGUAGCCGGAUGAGAGGUUGCCGGCUCAUUGGGACUGAGACACUGCCAGACUCCUACGGGGGCGUGCGAGUAACGAAUCUCGACAU